GAAGCGGCCACACCCGGCUGGCAACAUCCAGCUCCACUCCGAACCUGGAAAUUAAGCAGUCGCGGGCCACAUCAGUACUGGGCUGGGCGACUUCCCGGGAACGUGCGGUGCUUGCUUCUUUUUCCUUUUUGCGCGGGGCAGGGCUAUUGCCCUGCACCAAUACUACACUCUACACCUAUGUUUGUC